CGCAAUGGCUGUGGGCAUGCUGAGCUGAGGAGAAGAAAGGAUUCUGCUGUCUGUCCCAUGGUUAUUGGAGAUGAGAUGUAGACCUGUGUCACCCCAGACAGUUCUACUUUGUAGCCCUGGUUGGUCAGG
ensembl:miRNA